rnacentral:tRNA from 1 species
UUUAAGCUUCAUAUAUAAAGUUAUUACUUUUAUUAGAA